CAUCUCCAUCCCAGCGGUUCGUCAGCGUCGGCCCUCGAGACCCCCGGCUUCAAUAUCCCUCAGCAGCCACAGUGGUACCUGGGAUAAGGACUCCGGAGGCGCAGACGCCCUCUACGGCCAGCCGCUGCAGCCUGUCCUCCAACACCAGCUGUCCCUGGUCAACCCCGUCACUGGUCCUGCAGAUCCCGGCUCCACCGUCAAUGACUCAGCAUCGGCAUGGCUAAAGCAGAUUAAGCGCUCCCAUGCUGCGAAUCGUUCGUCCCAGAAUUCCUUGCAGACUCUUGGAUCGUAUAUCUGUAGUGCUGGAUCUGAGUCCUGAACCUUUUUCCCUGAAUCCCUGACCUAUGGGGCAAUGGGGAAGCGACCUGUUCUGGGAACGUCAUCAGACUGAGUCCCAGAUAUUCCUCUGUGGAGGACCUACCUAUCCAUCACUUUGUGCCGCGUGAACUUGCAGUGGUUUGAAGCCCUCUAGGCUGCCACCACCCCUUCCUCCUUAGUGGAUCCCUGCAGCCGGGGGCAGGCAGGGGGCCGCCUGGCUCAGAGACACCAGCUGAAACAAACCUGGGACAGACCCUGCCUCCUUCCCUAGAUCUCUUCAGGACUUGGACGGUAGCAUGAAGGGAAGAGCUGAGCCGGGGGCAGAGCAGCAUGAACUAACCGUGGGGGCUCUGGGUGGGGUGUCCUGAAGGUGGUCUGGAUUCGCUGCUAUGCUUCACCAGGCGCUUGUUUCUCUGGAGGCUUCAUGGCUCAUCGGUUUCUCUCUUUUAGCCUCCAUUCUCUCCUUCCAUCCAUCCACCUGUCCAGGUGAAGAGGCAGCGUACGCAGGGCGGACCGAACCCCCGGGGGUCCGGAGCCACUCUGCCAGUCAGGGGAGAGCCCCGCCUCUCAAAUUUAACAGUGAAAUCAUGAGGAAAAGUGCAAUUUUGUUGAUUAGUUGUUGGAUUAUUAAAUAUAUCUAAAUGUAUAUUUUUCUUGUAGUCCGCUCAGACCAGGGACUCUAAAACACUGGGCGACAAACCGACACGCAGCCUUGGGGAACACCAACCCAGUGAGAAACUACCAAACCGCGUCGUUCUUUGAUAAUCUGGUAGUUUGAUAUGAGAACGUCUGAAUCAGAGAUCAGUUUCUGAGCAAAGGACUGAUGUUCAUUCAGCUCAAAUAGAAACGAAUAACGAUUCCUUUAUUUAAAAUUUAUUCUACGUCAGGGAAACGAAAUGUCUCCUGAGGCCAAAUCACAACAAUUUAAGCUUGAAACGAAUCAGUUUGGCAAGAUAAUCUGCCUGGCAACGGGCUGCCAUUUGAUUGUCUGGGUCUUCCAGAGGCUCCAUCCAAUCACGAGCACUUCUUCCUCCAGCUGGCCAAUAGGCUGUGAGUGUGUCAUCAGGGGGCAUGGUUUAUUUAUGAGGACUUUAACUCUUCUUCAGUUUGGUUUUUCUUCCUUAUUCUAUAAAUAUCUAUAGACACACACAGACACACCCAACGUUAACAUGAGUUUAAGUGAAAAAGUCA